AUUGAACGCUGGCGGCAGGCCUAACACAUGCAAGUCGAGCGUAUGAAGGGAGCUUGCUCCUGGAUUCAGCGGCGGACGGGUGAGUAAUGCCUAGGAAUCUGCCUGGUAGUGGGGGAUAACGUCCGGAAACGGGCGCUAAUACCGCAUACGUCCUGAGGGAGAAGGUGGGGGAUCUUCGGACCUCACGCUAUCAGAUGAGCCUAGGUCGGAUUAGCUAGUUGGUGGGGUAAAGGCCUACCAAGGCGACGAUCCGUAACUGGUCUGAGAGGAUGAUCAGUCACACUGGAACUGAGACACGGUCCAGACUCCUACGGGAGGCAGCAGUGGGGAAUAUUGGACAAUGGGCGAAAGCCUGAUCCAGCCAUGCCGCGUGUGUGAAGAAGGUCUUCGGAUUGUAAAGCACUUUAAGUUGGGAGGAAGGGCAGUAAGUUAAUACCUUGCUGUUUUGACGUUACCAACAGAAUAAGCACCGGCUAACUUCGUG
rnacentral:rRNA from 1 species